GCCGUCUUAGCUCAUCUGGGAGAGCGUAAGACUGAAGAUCUUAAGGCACCCGGUUCAAUCCCGGGAGACGGCA